rfam:Neotoma lepida isolate 417 scaffold_16256, whole genome shotgun sequence.
UUACCAGUCAGGCUCUGGCUAGAUUCCAGCUAGCAGCUGGUACCUGAUCUAGCCAUAGCCUGACAGUAAA